GACGAACGCUGGCGGCGUGCUUAACACAUGCAAGUCGAGCGGAAAGGCCACUUCGGUGGUACUCGAGCGGCGAACGGGUGGGUAACACGUGAGUAAUCUGCCCCUGGCUUUGGGAUAGCCACCGGAAACGGUGAUUAAUACCGGAUACGACCACUUCUCGCAUGGGAUGGUGGUGGAAAGUUUUUUCGGCCAGGGAUGUGCUCGCGGCCGAUCAGCUUGAUGGUGAGGUAAUGGCUCACCAUGGCUUCGACGGGUAGCCGGCCUGAGAGGGUGACCGGUCACACUGGGACUGAGAGACGGCCCAGACUCCGACGGGAGGCAGCAGUGGGGAAUAUUGGACAAUGGGCGGAAGCCUGAUCCAGCAACGCCGCGUGAGGGAUGACGGCCUUCGGGUUGUAAACCUCUUUCAGCAGGGACGAAGCGCAAGUGACGGUACCUGCAGAAGAAGCACCGGCCAACUACGUGCCAGCCGCCGCGGUAA
rnacentral:rRNA from 1 species